UACGUAGGGUGCGAGCGUUAAGCGGAAUUACUGGGCGUAAAGCGUGCGCAGGCGGUUCGCCAAGUCAGGUGUGAAAUCCCCGGGCUUAACCUGGGAAUUGCGCUUGAAACUAGCGGGCUUGAGUGUGGCAGAGGGGGGUGGAAUUCCACGUAUAGCAGUGAAAUGCGUAGAGAUGUGGAGGAACACCGAUGGCGAAGGCAGCCCCCUGGGUCAACACUGACGCUCAUGCACGAAAGCGUGGGGAGCAAACAGG
rnacentral:rRNA from 1 species